rnacentral:rRNA from 1 species
GACGAACUGUGCGAACGUUAUUCGGAAUCACUGGGCUUACAGGGUGCGUAGGCGGCCAGGUAAGUAGGGUGUGAAAUCCCCCGGCCCAACCGGGGAACUGCGCUCUAAACUACCUGGCUUGAGUGAGCUAGGGGUCCACGGAACUUCCAGUGGAGCGGUGAAAUGUGUUGAUAUUGGAAGGAACACCGGAGGCGAAAGCGGUGGACUGGGGCUUAACUGACGCUGAGGCACGAAAGCCAGGGGAGCGAAC